GUGAAUCAUCAAAAUUUUGAACGCAAAAUGCACUCUCCUCGGAGAGUAAGCCUGUUUGAGGGGCAGCCUAUAAAAAUCGACAUCGGUGCUGUUUCGCGGUGGCGUUCGGCGGAAAUUGGGGAAUCUUAAAUCCUUUUGAUUUAAGCGACUUAAAAUUUUCUUUUGGUUCCAUGGACGUUUCUAAGAGUUAUUUCUUUACACGUUUAAGGUAUCGAUGUUUACUAGAAGGG
rnacentral:misc_RNA from 1 species